CGUCAGAAUUCAUCAAGUUUAAACAUUAUCAUCAUGAUCUGCAUGGACUCUUUAGUGUUUUUUAGAGUAUUCCCCUCUAUGCUGAUGAUAGUUCAACUUUCUAAUGAUGGGAGUUUUAUCAUGAAAAACUAAAUCUGAGUUGAAGAUCCUGAGAUGUCAAUAAAACGACUUUAUCCAACGUCUCUCAGAAAAAGAACGUGUUCACUCCACUCUGUAAGAUUCAGUUUUCAGGUCGAACUGCAGGCAGCGUUUCCUCAGAGAGACCGAGAGGAAAAUAAAAUAAAUGCAGCAGAACCAGAGAACAGAGAUCCAUUCAGCAUGGAGGAACACGUACUGAUAAGAAGAGAUAAAAACAUCUACGAGACGAGGAGAUGGAAGCAGCUGGUUAACAGGUAACAGGUGAGUUAACAGGUAACAGAUGGGUGUACCUUGCCAGAGAGUCUGCUCAGCUUCUUCCACUCUCUGAGACACUGAGCGUCGAACCGAUGAGGAAUCUCAGCAGCAAUCUUCGCCCAGCGACCUGAAAACACAAACAGCUGAGCCGGAGGUUCUGGGUUCUACCAGCAGAACCACAGCAUGAAGAUGAUAUUCAGACCCCCAUCUGUUCUCUGCUCCAUGUUCUGCUCUGAAAAUCUAGAUUUCUCCACUUGGUGAUGUCUAGCAAGAAAUAAAAUAAAAAUCAGUUUAUAUACAGAGGAGACUCUCACUGACGUUCCCUGGAAAUCAGCUUAGAACUCUGCUGCUACAAACAGACCAAAUGACCUCUAGAACCUCCUGCAUGAGCUCUAGAUCCUUCUUCAUACACUCUAGAACCUCCUAAAUGUGCUCUAGAAGUUCUCAAUGAACUAUAGAACUUUUGUAAUGAACUCUAGAUCAUUCCAAAUAAACUCCAGAACCACCUUAAGAAACCUCCUGAAUGAAACAAUGAACUUUUAAAUGAAAUCUAGAACCUUUCUAAUUGAUCUCUAGAACCUUUUCAAUGAACUCUAGAACCAUCUAAAUGACCUUUAAAAUCUGCUCAAUGAAACGUA